GCGACUAUAUCCACGGGUAGCAGCAGGCGCGAAACUUACCCACUCGAGACUAUCGGAGGUGGUAAUGACCAGUUAUAAUUAAGGAAUUUUCCUUAUUAUAUAGGAAUAUACUUUUCCAGUAUAUUGUAACCUAGCAGAGGGCCAGUCUGGUGCCAGCAGCUGCGGUAAUUCCAGCUCUGCAAGUUUGCUCCCAUAUUGUUGUAGUUAAAACGCUCGUAGUCUGAAUUAUUUUAAUUUAAAUUUUUUAAAUUAAAAUUUAGUUUUUAUUUUAUAAAAACGUUCACUGUGAACAAAUCAGAACGCUUAAAGUAAUUUUCUUUAUUG
rnacentral:rRNA from 1 species